UACGGGGGGGGCAAGCGUUGUUCGGAAUUACUGGGCGUAAAGGGCUCGUAGGUGGCCAACUCAGUCAGACGUGAAAUCCCUCGGCUUAACCGGGGAACUGCGUCUGAUACUAGUUGGCUUGAGGUUGGGAGAGGGAUGCGGAAUUCCAGGUGUAGCGGUGAAAUGCGUAGAUAUCUGGAGGAACACCGGUGGCGAAGGCGGCAUCCUGGACCAAUUCUGACACUGAGGAGCGAAAGCCAGGGGAGCAAACGGG
rnacentral:rRNA from 1 species